AACGAACGCUGGCGGCAGGCCUAACACGUGCAAGUCGAGCGAAGCCUUCGGGCUUAGCGGCGGACGGGUGAGUAACGCGUGGGAACGUGCCCUUUGGUACGGAAUAGCCCCGGGAAACUGGGAGUAAUACCGUAUGUGGUCGAGAGACGAAAGAUUUAUCGCCAAAGGAUCGGCCCGCGUUGGAUUAGGGAGUUGGUGGGGUAAUGGCCUACCAAGCCGACGAUCCAUAGCUGGUUUGAGAGGAUGAUCAGCCACACUGGGACUGAGACACGGCCCAGACUCCUACGGGAGGCAGCAGUGGGGAAUCUUAGACAAUGGGGGAAACCCUGAUCUAGCCAUGCCGCGUGAUCGAUGAAGGCCUUAGGGUUGUAAAGAUCUUUCAGUGGGGAAGAUAAUGACUGUACCCACAGAAGAAGCCCCGGCUAACUCCGUGCCAGCCGCCGCGGUAACAC
rnacentral:rRNA from 1 species